rnacentral:rRNA from 1 species
ACGAACGCUGGCGGCGUGCUUAACACAUGCAAGUCGCACGGUGAAGGGGUCUGCUUUUGUGGGCCCUGGAUGCGUGGCGACCGGGUGAGUAACACGUGAGUAACCUGCCCCCUUCUUCUGGAUAACCGCAUGAAAGUGUGGCUAAUACGGGAUAUUCUGGGUCUGUCGCAUGAUGGGUCUGGGAAAGAUUGCGCCUUUGGGUGUUUUUGGUGGGGGAUGGGCUCGCGGCCUAUCAGCUUGUUGGUGGGGUGAUGGCCUACCAAGGCGGUGACGGGUAGCCGGCCUGAGAGGGUGGACGGUCACACUGGGACUGAGACACGGCCCAGACUCCUACGGGAGGCAGCAGUGGGGAAUAUUGCACAAUGGGCGCAAGCCUGAUGCAGCGACGCCGCGUGAGGGAGGGAGGCCUUCGGGUUGUAAACCUCUUUCGCCAGUGAAGCAGGCCUGCUCCUUGUGGGUGGGUUGACGGUAGCUGGAGAAGAAGCGCCGGCUAACUACGUG